GAGCCUUUGGAAAUAGGCGUCGUGAGAGUGCAAAUCGUUUCUGAAUAGGGCUAUUAGUGCGGUACAUUAACCAUGGUGCGCACCACACUUUGAAAUAAGGUAUAAGCACUUUAUACCAUUAUAACUGGUGCCUGUAUUAACAAGAAACACAAAAGGGGAUGGAGAGGUGUACUGCUGGAAGUUUGAGGUGGACGUGUCGGAGGAUAUGGGUGGUGAAGUCACGGCGCAGGUUACCCACACCUUUUACCACGCUAACUGGCCGCAGCUUUUCACUGAGGUCGGGCAGGCCUGUAUCUCCGUGUUCUGCUCUAGAAAUGCUCAGACGUGUAGAUGGAAGCACUAGGAGGAAGAAGAAAGAGAAACAAUAGAGGAGGAU